CGAUGCCAGGAGGCCGCCGCUGAAAACUCACUCAUUUCACUGUCAUGGCGUCUCCCGUUGAUAACCUUAUAUUUUCUCCACUGAUGAAUGAGACUUCUUAAAUAUUCCAGCUGACCACAGCGUGUCGGGAUGACUUGGAUGUUAAACUCGCAGACAUGUCAAUGGUAGUCAAUUGAUCCAUCACGUUGCGGAGGGCCACUGGGCUUAGAGAAGGCCAAAGCGGCUUGAUCCUCCUCAAAUCCAAAGCAAACAGGCACAACAUGGCCGCCCUGAUGCGCCGCAGCCUCGGGGCCUGAAAACAGGAGUUCCCCUGAGCAGCUAUCAAAAGCUUUGCUUCCCGCCAAGUGCAAAGGCCUCACGAUCCCCUGGAGUCUCAGAGGGCGAGGAAGACACGACCGGAGUCAACAACCUUCGUCUGUCCUUUUCAAGACCUUUACCCGCUCAGAGCAAAGCGUCUCAAUGAAUCCAGAACUUUCACUGUAAAUAUACAUAUUGAAGCCAUUACUCGAGGAGUUUGGAUGAGUCAAACGAUGAAGAAUGGCAUUACUCGAGCAGCAAAAAAGACAAGUCUUUCUUUUGAAGACGAUACUCCGUCUCCGGUUGUCGGUUGUGUUUUGCUUCCCUGAAAACAUGCACUUCAGAGAAGGUGCCUUGUGAAAGUCUCUGGAGUCCCCUGAUCCCGUCCCCUUGACUCUGCUCAUUGUUUUUGGCAGAGCAGCUGCUUCGAGAUUUAGAUAUCAUCAUUCAGGCCGGAGGAUGGGACAUGGAGACAUGUCCCCCGGGGAGUCUGCAGAGCACGGAGAGGCACAAUGAAGCGAGUGACUGGCCGCGUUCAAAAGGGAGAAUGGUGCCAAACGCUGGGCAAGAUCAACUACUCAGGACUGUUUCCUUUGCCAAGGACGGUCUGUGAAUGACUCCAACAGCUGAAGGUCUCUGCAGAUGUGAGACUUUGUCGCUGUGGAUAAUGUCAGCGACUCGUAAACGCCUUCCCGAGACCGGGAAAUUGAAUCUAUAGUCACUCCCUCGCAUUCUCAGGGGUUCAUCCCUUGACCUUCACAACCCCAAGAAAGUCUUCAGAUAUCAACGCGCGCUGGGAAGGCCACCAGGAUGUUUGCGUCAUAACAGCGAAAUGUUAUUCAUAUUAAUUUCACGUCACGGCUUCAUCUUUUACUGCUGUCGUUAAUAGAAAUAUAUUUUUUAUUAAAAUUGACAUUGUAUCAGGUGGUCAUAUUGCUGAAACUGUUGGUUUGUUCUCUUAAAAUCAAUGUCAAUCAAAUGUUUGGAAAUGCUAAAAAACGGAAACAAUCUUUGCUUCAUUAUUUUAAAACACAACUAAGCGCUUGAAUUGGAACCGGUAUUUGGUCUUGUUAUUUUGGUCAUAUUAAUGGUUCAUCUGCCCUAAUAAUUAAUUCAUUAGUGGUCAACAAAUACAAAGUGCUUGUAUGAUUACAGUAUUUAAAUAUAAGCCAGUCCAAUAAAGGAACAUGAUAAUAUCAC
ensembl:lncRNA